AUCUCAACACAGUCUACCUGUGGGAUAUGCGGAUCCGAGGAUUCUUGGCGUCACUCUUUAAUCGAGUGCAAUAUGGCGCGGUGCGUGUGGGCUCUUGAAGAUGAAGCUUUGGUCGAGGUGUUACUGUCCAAUAGAGAACCAGAUGCCAAACGUUUUAUUUUCUCACUGAUUGAUGCUCUACCUCACUCAGAUUUUGUGGCAAUAUUGGUAACAUUAUGGGCGGUAUGGCACACACCGAAGAAGCAGCAUGCAACACCCCAUGUCGUCCCUAAACAACACAACAUAUGGAAGCCACCAGCUGGUGGAGUGGCAAAAAUUCAGGUUGAUGGGGCACUCUCAAGGAACUCAGCGGAAGGAUCCUAUAGCGCGGUUUGCCGUGAUUCAACUGGUAAGUUCAUGGGAGCUUCGGCUAUCAAAUGUGCAGGAAUCAUUGAUCUAGCUACACUUGAGGCGAUGGCGUGUCGUGAAACCCUGACACUUGCAUUGGACCUUUCACUCACAGAUGUGCUUGUCGUGUCAGACUGCCAGGGAGUAGUCAAUGAUAUACAUCACGGUACUGGUCGAUUGCAUGUAGGCAUCGUCAAGGAGAUUGCCAACACAUCUAGGUAG
rnacentral:rRNA from 1 species